rnacentral:tRNA from 1 species
GUCUCUAUAAUUUAAAUAAAAUAAUGGUCUUGUAAACCAUAAAUGAAAUUUCUAAAGACU